GACGAACGCUGGCGGCGUGCUUAACACAUGCAAGUCGAGCGGUAAGGCCUCUUCGGGGGUACACGAGCGGCGAACGGGUGAGUAACACGUGGGUGACCUGCCCUCAGCUCUGGGAUAAGCCUGGGAAACUGGGUCUAAUACUGGAUAUGACCACAUGCUGCAUGGUGUGUGGUGGAAAGUUUGUUCGGCUGGUGAUGUGCCCGCGGCCUAUCAGCUUGUUGGUGGGGUGAUGGCCUACCAAGGCGACGACGGAUAGCCGACCUGGGAGGGGGGCCGGCCACAAUGGGCCUAAGGGAGGGAGCAGACUGCAACGGGAGGCAGAGGUGGAAAAUCUUGCGCAGUGAGCGGGAGCGUGUGAAAGAGGCGCCGGGUGGGGGAAGACGGCCUUCGGGGUAUAAACCUCUUUCGACCGAGACGAAGCGUAAGUGACGGUACCGGAAGAAGAAGCACCGGCCAACUACGUG
rnacentral:rRNA from 1 species